GUAUUGUAUAUAGUUUUGAUUUUCAAAAGUGAUUAUUUCAGUCCGAUUUUGUUUCAAUUCAGUGAUUUAGUGCACAAUGAAUGAUCUACAUUGGCGAUAACAUUAUUCGCAAGCUUUUGAUGCCGGUGAGGAAACCCUAUUCUACAUGAUGGAGGCCCAUGUAAAUGCUUUAUCGUACAAAACCAUCCUAUAUUUAAUAACUACAUGAGAUGACUUUUAUCCAACUUUAAUUUGGGAUAUGUGUUAUUUUCGAUAUGUAGUUCACAUGGAACACAAAAAUAUUUAAAAUUUGGAUCUCCUAAAGAUGCUGGUGAUAAGGAACGUAAAGCUAAACUGGGAUCACACUCAAAGUGAAGCCAUCUUAAUCACAUUCCACAUUGUUGCCAAGA